rnacentral:tRNA from 1 species
UCCACUACUCAGUUGGUAGAGUACACAGCUCUUAACCUUGUGGACGUGGGUUCAAGCCCCAUGGUGGAG